CACCCCACUAGCCUGAGGAAUGGACACUUGAUUCAAUUCUGACCAUUCACUAAGAACUGACAGCUGAGCUAUUUUCUUCUCCCUAAGUGCCAAAUCCUCCACUGAAAUGUGCCAAGCCAGCUCACUGGACAUUUCUCUCAGAAGACCAAGAAGUCAUCAUGGGAGAAAAGACCCUGUUCUAACAGAAUUGAAAGCUGGAGCAGGGCUGUAGACCACAGAUGAUUUCCCUGCUUGGGAGCUGGAAGACAUUGCCGCUGCCUGCCUGAAAGCAUUUUGGUGGAUCUUUAUUGGCUGUUUCAUCCUUGGAAAAAGUAAGUUUUAACCACAAUAAAAUUUAUUCCCACAUCAAGGAUUUCUUGAAAGCUUUUUCCAAGGGAAAAAAAAAGACAACAAGCAGAGAAAGGAACAAACGAAAAACACCCUGUAGGAAAAGGUGAACCAUAGGACCUAACAGCUUGAAUAUUUUGUCUUGAUGUCAACCCCCAACAUAUGGUAAUUUUCAAUGACUGCCAGAUGAAAUGAUGAACUUGGAG
rnacentral:lncRNA from 1 species